rnacentral:lncRNA from 1 species
GAGUGGAGACGUGUGGUAGGUAGGUAUAGGGAUUUGCAGUGAUUGUGAGGGAAGAGAGAAGGGAGUUCGCGUGAAGGGUGAGUAAUAGGUGAGGAUUAUUUAUUUCUUUUCAUUUUCUUUUUGUCUUUUAGUGAGAGAUUCGUUGGUACCAGCUGGCAGUUUUAGAAGGGAUCCAAUGUGCUAACUGUCAAUAAUUCCUUGGACCAACCUAUUUUAUUAUUAUUUCUAUUACUAUGUUUAAAUAAAA